UACGUAGGAUGCAAGCGUUGUCCGGAAUUACUGGGCGUAAAGGGCGCGCAGGCGGUCCUUCAAGUCAGAUGUGAAAGCCCCCGGCUUAACCGGGGAGGGUCAUUUGAAACUGAAGAACUAGAGUGCAGUAGAGGCUAACGGAAUUCCCGGUGUAGUGGUGAAAUGCGUAGAUAUCGGGAGGAACACCAGUGGCGAAGGCGGUUAGCUGGGCUGUAACUGACGCUGAGGCGCGAAGGCUAGGGGAGCGAACAGG
rnacentral:rRNA from 1 species